rnacentral:lncRNA from 1 species
AACAAUAAUAAUUCACUGUAAUCAACUUAAUGCAUUUCAUUAAAUCCAUAAUUUGAGAGUGUAAACAACAUAAAGAAUGCUAAAUUAUUUGAAUCCAAUAACAUUUCGCGUCUAAUUAAUUAUUUUAUUAAGUAGCUAUAAGCUCGAUAAUAAGUUACAUCGAACAGAUUCUCCCAACUCCUGAUCACAAUAACUUCCACAUGCCAUGUCUUUGAACAUCACAUGACCUGAAAUGAUAAAAUAAAAUAAAUAUAAUAUAAACAACAUAUAAAGUUCAUCAAUAGUCAAGAAAAAUAACUACUUGACCUUUAUAUACUUAUAUCGGCGGCAUAUCAAGGAAUUGCUACUACAAAAUUUAGUCAAAAUCAAGUGUACAGGAAAUGCAUUUCUUUUCCUGCUAACCAUUACAAUAUAACAAGCCUCAAAAAGAUUUAUAGAGUACGAAGAAGGUCAAACGCCAGUUCUAAUAAAAAUAUAUUGUGCUACACUUAACAAAGAGCAUUUUCUUUUGUCUUUAGCCAAUCCUAGAUCUUUGAGACGCCGUAAUAUCUAUUCUUCACAAUAACUCUUACGGUGACAAAUAUAUUUAUAUAGCUAUGACACUUCCGGAUAUAAAUGAGAUAGAAAUAUCAUUGUUCAUGAUUCUAUGGGAAAAGAAAUUGCAUAAUAGCUUCUUCGAAUGGUAACAUGAAGUAGACAACAUCAUUGUUAAAACUCAUUUAAGUAGUUGGAUUUUUAAGUUCACACAGUUAUGUUUCAGGAGUUUUUAGCCAAUAUUAUCUCUUAUCUUUGAGGGUAAGCUUAACUUUAUCCUUUAAAUAUAACCUUGAGCACUAUUUAUCCUUUAAAUUUGCUAAACUUGAGCACAUUUAGCCUCAGCAACAUAAAGCACCAAAUCUGUUAGAAAACUAACUGUAAUGCACUAGACUUCAAUGAGUCUUCUUAUAGAUGUUAUAAGAAAUGCACAAAUACCGCUUUUUCUAGAAACUAGUUCGCUUCACAUGUCACAACAUUAAAUUCCAAUCACAACAAUAUCAUUUUUCAGCAUAACUUGCAAAGAUCUGAUUUUGGUUGUAAGAUAGGGAAAAGAAAAUGAAAGCAGUGUGUUUUGUAGUAAAAAGGAAAAUGUAUAGAGGAAAAAUGAGAGCAUCACAAAACAAUUAUAUAUGGAAAGAAAAAGGAAGGAGAACCCAUUACUUCGUAGUAGUAUUUUUACCGAGAGAUGAAUUAUCUCCAAUUGACACGUGAGUUUGUCCAAAUGAAGAGCCAAAACUACAACUAGAACUGGAAAAUUAAUUAAAUAUCAAAAGCUAUAUCGACUUGUAGGAGCAGUCGCUGAAGUAGUUUUGUGCAAAACUGAAUUACAGACUUCUAGUACACUCACUAUAACUAGGAUUUCUUAUGCCAUUGCUCCUAAUAAUCAUUGCUAGAAUGAACCAAAGUAUUAAAGACUUGAAUAUAAAUCAAGAAUGCUAGGGAUUUUUACUGUUGUAACAGACAUGCAAAGGUUCAUUCGAGAAGAAGGGUAUUCUUCAAAGGGAAAGAUAUCGACGAUUUAUAGGUUAUUAAGCAUCACGUGCAGAUCACAGUGUGCUCUGCUAUUAGUUUUCUAAUGAAAGUGGAUAUUCUUUAUUUGUGAGACUAAGUGUGCUCAAGUUUUACAAACUUAGAGGACAAAUAGUGAUUAGGAUUAUAUUUAAAGGACAAAGUUAAGCCUAUCCCUAAACAUAAGGGAUAAUUUUGGCUAAAAGUUCUAUGUUUCAGCAUAGAGAUUACUUUAUGUAAUUUAAUGCAACAGUAGACAUAUUUUUAGCAAAUUAUAACUCCUAAACUUUCAGCUUUUUGCUCUCUUCAAACAAUAAAUGAAACUUCAAGAAAACACCUUUCAACCUCAUGCCUAAUCAUACUUAAUUCAAAUUAUUCAUCUACUAAUAGCAUAUCAACAAUAUAGCCCAUCUUUCAGCAUACCAAAGUAACAAUAAAUAUAUAUAAAAAUAACUCAAUAACUUUUGACAAUGAAAACUAUAAAGAAAAAAUAUUCUCUUUUUUAAUAUAAUAUUUCAGUGUUCAUCCACAUACAUAGGGCAUAUAUCUAACAUUCCAUUCUCUUCCAUAAAGAGAAGACAAGAUAUUCAGAAAAGAAUACAAUCAUAGUCUAAUAAAAUUAUCGACAAUGAAAAUGAAGUUGACAAAGUUGACAGAUAGAAUGUAGACAACAAAUAUCACUUGAACCAAAUAGAUAUAUUAGUUUAAAAACUGAACAGUUAAUGAGUUAACAAUGAAAUUAGACUAAAUAAGAGUUACUAACCUAGCUUCGUUCGAACAAGUAUAAUUGGUACUCCAGGAACAUCAUGUCUCAAUUUCGGAAUCCGCUCAAGAACAAUAACAAAAUCAAGAAAUAAGGUAUUCCUUCAGAGGAAUUAUAAAAUAUCACCAUUUGGAGACAUUUCUCCAAUGUACUAUAAAAAACAAGUAAAAGUACUAUAAAGAAACCUGAAGUUAAGAAGGAAGCCUACCUAUUUUGAUACAUUUUUAUAAUUGGGCUUGCUAACGAGAGAAAACGUCUGUCAAAAAUUAAAUUAUCACAAGGUCAAAAGUUCUGUCAACAACCAAGCAUCUAAAUAAUCAUCUAAACUAUUCAACUUCAGAAGCAAAGGCAAGAUCUUCAAUAAUAAGCCUUCAUCUUUAUAAUAGAGUAUCCACAUAUUCAAUCACAAGGUUCUAUACUUGAAGCGUUCUUCUCUAUUCUUUUACAGAAGUUAUCACCAAUACUAAAAAAAAUUUGCGGACAAAUAGUUUAACCAAACAACUUCAAGGAGAAGUUCACUAAGCUAAACAUUGUCAAAGACUAUUUUCAAUAUGGAAUCCCUUCCCCUCGACAUAUCAAAUGCAUAAAUAUUAUUACACAUACACACACGUACACACAAAAAAUGAACUUACUGCUAUUGCCAAUCAAAAGGAGCUUGAUGAGGUAAUCUCUAAUCGUGAUAGGCUAAAGCAGGUGGAGCGACCAUUUGAUUUUCUCAAAAAAUGAUGAAGGGGAACUACUCCAACCCUAGAUAUACAAAAAUCACCUUAGCAAUUGUGAGAAUGUGAGGAAAAUUGAUCAAAUUAGAAUAAAAUUAACAGAAAUUCAUGUGUAUAAAUAUAUGUACAAGGAUUUAUACAUACAUACAUACACUAUCAUUUCGAAUCGGAGAACUGUAAAAGAAAGAAAGAGAAAUAUGAAAAUAUGUAUGAGAUCUAAUAAAUAAACGGGUGAGAUAACAAGAGAGUAGAAAGAGAUAGUUGUGUUACCUGAAAUUGGUGGCCGGUGGUGAGAUAGAAAUGAGUUGCAGUGGCAGUGAUGGUUUUAGCAGCGGCGAGAUAGGUCGAGUCUUUGUGCAGUAUUCCCAAAUUUUCCAAAUUUUAUUUUGUUAUUUUGAGAAAUUGGAGGGAAUAUCCAAGUGGUGUUAAAAAAAGUGAGGGAAGAUAAAAUAGUAAAAUUUCUUUUGAAUUAGUUGCUUUAGUGGCCAGUCAUUUUUUUUCCGGUACAAGACUAUCUUUUCC